rfam:Aspergillus fumigatus Af293 chromosome 5, whole genome shotgun sequence.
ACAUACGACCAUAGGGUGUGGAAAACAGGGCUUCCCGUCCGCUCAGCCGUACUUAAGCCACACGCCGGCCGGUUAGUAGUUGGGUGGGUGACCACCAGCGAAUCCCGGCUGUUGUAUGUA